rnacentral:rRNA from 1 species
UGAAGGUACUUGAGGAAUAAGCAUCGGCUAACUCCGUGCCAGCAGCCGCGGUAAUACGGAGGAUGCAAGCGUUAUCCGGAAUGAUUGGGCGUAAAGCGUCCGCAGGUGGUCAUGUAAGUCUGUUGUUAAAGCGUGCGGCUCAACCGCAUAAGGGCAAUGGAAACUACACGACUAGAGUGCGUUAGGGGUAGAGGGAAUUCCUGGUGUAGCGGUGAAAUGCGUAGAUAUCAGGAAGAACACCAGUGGCGAAGGCGCUCUGCUAUGCCGCAACUGACACUGAGGGACGAAAGCUAGGGGAGCGAAUGGGAUUAGAUACCCCAGUAGUCCUAGCCGUAAACAAUGGACACUAGGCGUUGCUUGUAUCGACCCGAGCAGUGCCGUAGCCAACGCGU